GCCCAUACCAAUGUGCACGCUGGUGCGUAAGAAGGCACGGCACUCUGCCGUGCCAAGCGGCACGGUAGAGGAGCCGGUUCCCAUCUUGUCCGCCGCAUCACGCCCCACCCGAUCCACCGCACCACCGUACCUCACCCCAGCCACCUUCCUCCGCCGCCCCGCCACCGCAACCCGCAAGCCUGACCACCCCGUCCUCCUUCUGCCAGCGCGCCCCCCAUCUUCUCCCGUUGCGCGGCCCGGCCCACCUUCUCACCACCGCCAGGCCAGACGCGCGCCGGAACGCUGCCCCUGGAUCCGUGCGACCAACGACGACCUCUCCUGCUCGAUUCCAGCGGCCAGUGCCCUGUCCGCCGCGCCACAUGAAUGGAUCUGGCCGCCGUGGAAUGGAUCUGACCACCCCCAGGCAUCACGCAAAUCCAGGGAAGUCGAGGGCCUCCUCACUUCUAGCAGCUCCCUACGACCGUGCGCCUAGGGACGCAGGGGAGUUUGGUGGCCUCCUGUCGAGUUCCAGCACGAGAAUACUACCCCGACCAGUCGUCGGAGACUGUUCUUCCCGCAGCUCCCUUCUGGCACAAGCGCAGCUCAGAUGCGCGUGGUAUUGCGGUUCGAAUCGCGAAAAGGAAAAAAGCCGGCGCCUGUUAGUGUUGUCCUCGGCAUCCAGCGCCGGCGCCGGCUGCACUCCUCGACCCUCCUUACCUCCUCCCUCCAACAACGACAUCGAGGUACAGUUUGACAGGGAGGCCAUUUCAGUUCGGUGGUUUUUGGUUUCAGAUUUUGCCGCUGCAGUGCGCGCGUGCACUUCAAACUGGUGUGUGUCCUGGUGCAGUUUGGUACAUUUUGCCCAUCAGCUUGGUUGUGUGUGUGUUGCGGUGCAGUGCACACCGUUUCAGGCAAAAAGGAAAAUGAUGUGUGCUGCGGUAUGGGCGUGAUCUAGCCUCCAUAAAGCAAUUCCAAAGUUCUUUUUUUGCUUUUUUAGAAUUUGGAUGUACAAUUUUGAUGCAUUUCAGUGCAGUGCAAUGUCGUGGAGUGUGGGCGUGUGUGGCAUGCAGCUCGCCGGACGUGUGAGCUACAACCCUCACAUGCAGCUCUCUCCUGCUCCUUGUUCGCCGGCGGCGGGAGACAAAUGGACUGAAUUAGGGAUAGCUGGCAUCAUACUUUUUUGAAGUACUUCAACUAAUCAACUUGAUGUAUGUUUCAGUUUAACCAUUUUAUGUGGUUCACUCGUGGCA